GACAGAGGCCUCAAGCGUUAGGCGGAAUCACUGGGCUUAAAGCGUGUGUAGGCGGAUCGUUAAGUGUCUUGUGAAAUCCCACGGCUCACCCGUGGAACGGCUGGGCAUACUGGCGAUCUUGGGCCAACUAGGGGCAACUGGAACAAGCGGUGGAGCGGUGAAAUGCGUAGAUAAUCGCUUGGAACGCCAAAGGUGAAAACAGGUUGCUGGGG
rnacentral:rRNA from 1 species